UUCUUAGGCUCGUGGGAUUGAUGUCCAGCAGGUUUCCCUGGUCAUUAACUAUGACCUUCCUACAAACCGAGAGAACUACAUUCAUAGAAUUGGUCGCGGUGGCCGAUUCGGCAGAAAGGGAGUUGCUAUCAACUUUGUCACAGAGGAGGACAAGAGGAUUCUUCGAGAUAUUGAAACGUUUUACAA